UACGAAGGGGGCUAGCGUUGCUCGGAAUCACUGGGCGUAAAGAGCUCGUAGGCGGCUUGUCACGUCGGUUGUGAAAGCCCGGGGCUUAACCCCGGGUCUGCAGUCGAUACGGGCAGGCUAGAGUGUGGUAGGGGAGAUCGGAAUUCCUGGUGUAGCGGUGAAAUGCGCAGAUAUCAGGAGGAACACCGGUGGCGAAGGCGGAUCUCUGGGCAACAACUGACGCUGAGGAGCGAAAGCGUGGGGAGCGAACAGG
rnacentral:rRNA from 1 species